CCGAUUUGCUAAACUAUAAACAGCAUUGCAUAAGGCUACAUAAGUCAUUCCUGCGUGAAACCUUUUCAAAGAAAGUAAUUAUGAGGAAUCUGAGCGCUAUUUCCACUCUUUGGGUGGUGCUUCUCGUGGGUAUCAUCGUACCAGUCCUAUGUGCGCCCACAGAAGCGGAAAAAGAUGUGAGAGAAAUUACUGGUGUUGAUGAUGAUGGAAACCCGCGUGACAAGCGCAUCUUCAGCUGGAUCUGGAACACAAUUAAAAGUAUCUUUGGAUAAGAAAAUGGACUCGCUGCAAAAAUUUUGAUUGUUUGGUGUAAAAUAUUGACAAUGUUUGAAUCAUAAUAAUAAUACCUGACAAUAACCUUUAGCA